GGCGCUUUAGCUCAGCUGGUUAGAGCACCGGAAUCAUAAUCCGGGUGUCCGGGGUUCGAGUCCCUGAAGCGCCACCA
rnacentral:tRNA from 6 species